AGGGAUUUACGAUAACUUCACAUCUGAUCGAUUUUUUGGGACUUGGCAUUGACUUGCCUUUGGAUUUCGUCCUUCUCUCAUUGCUAUAAACCGGACUGAUUUUUAAAUACUUACUUUUCCUACACUUCUACACUCCCUUUUUGACGGAUCCUCUGUAUUUUCUUCACAAACUGUACCGCUUAGUUGAUUUUUCCUUUUGGUUAGCCUAAUUUGUUCUAAAGUGAUAUGCACCUAUUUUUUUUUUUUCAUUUUCAAGUGAAUUAAUCAUCGAUCGUAAAGAUUCUUACCUCCUUGUGCCUUACUCAUUUCUCCACUGGUUGGGACGAUAACUUCCUUUGUCCUGGAAUCUAUAAGAAAAGAAAGUUAUUCACAAAUCCUUCAAGAAAAAAAAAUAAUCUAAAAGCAUUGUAAACAAAUGAAUGGAUGCUGCCUGGGCAACAUGUGAGUGUGAUUCGUUCAUUCAACAGUUGCCACCAUACUGACAAAAAUGCAUUCUUCAGAGACACUUCCAUAUUUUCGAAAUAUGUGACAAGUAUCCUGGAACUAAAGGAAUAGUUCCUUGUUUUGGUUCUGUGAUCCAGUACUCAUCCGGAUAGUUG